GCUUCAUUCUAAGAAAUAGAGUCUACCCACCUUUAAGUUUGUUAUUUAGAAUUUAGAGAAGUUAUCGGUCAUGGAUUUCUUGACCAUCAAAAGCUUGAAGGCAGCUUACCAUAAUCUUAUAACAUUCCUGUUAACUUGUAUCGGAAUCAAGUAUGGAGUCUCCAAGAUCAAUCCUUUCCAGGAACCAACCCUGUCCCUUCUGGUCACCGCCGUGUUUUCCCAUGUUAUAGCUUCCGCCGCUGACAUGGACAAGCCCAACACCAUUAUAACAUUUUAUUUGUCAGGGAUAGUUGCUUGUGAAACACUGCUGUGGAUUCUCAUUGCUCACCUUUCCUGGUUCUGUCUCAUUAACUUCCUUCUUUUACUGAUACUCAAAUUCUUGUUCUUUCACUUCCUCACCAACCUACUCCUUCCCUACUUCAACUCCAUCACUCACCUGAUCUGGAACUCCUUCUACUGCAUCACUCAGCUGCUCUCUGGAACACCUCCAAAUACAGAACAGCAACCAGGACUCCCAGGUGUAGCAUCUCAGAUAUAGCCUGCUUCAUCAAUAUGUAUUGAGGCGCACCAACUACUAGUUUUACACAUGUUGGAUUGUCAAAUACGAUUUGUCCCUUUAUUGUGCAUCAAGUAUUCUACAUCAACCUAUCAUCAUCAGUAGGUCUUGCCUGGUUUCAUGGAAUUGUAUGCAUGACAAAGAAGGAAUGAUAUUGUUGCGCCUCUGCUACUCAGUCAUGCAUUCUCUGCAGCUUAACAGUUGCUUCUCUUCAUCCUCGGGGAUUGCAAGGAAUCGCAUGGAUCUAUUCUUUCAGUGAGGACAAGGAGGUUUCUUGCCAUUUCUCCCAAUAUAACACUACUGCAUUUUUCUUCUUUGUUUCUGUUUUCUCCAUGUUUUUUCCUUUGUACUUUAAUGCUUGUUUGCUUCUCUGUCAACUUAAAAUGGAUUACAUGAGUAGUGAAUUUUUUAACUCCAUUUACAUAACUCUUGCGUUUGCUGAAUAAGGAAUUUUUGAAAGAGAAUUUCAGUAUUAUACAAUUCCAUUUUACUUGACUCUGUUGUGUUAGCUGAACACACCCUUUCUUACAUUUUGUUUCUCUUUUCUUCUGUACCUAACUGCACUCGCGCCUUACAGAACGGAAAACUCCUUCGGUUGACUAAUUAAUCCGUGUUUUAAUUCUCUACUCCCAUGUUUGUGGGCUGCAGAUUAUCUCUGUUGAAGUCAACUGAGAGAAAUCCUCUGCCUGAGAGGAUUCUUGUGCUUCAUAUUAUCCCUUCUUUUUAACUAAUCGCUAACCACUCUCAAUCUUCUUUUUCUGGAUCACCACAAAUUUUUCCAUUGAAGUAUACAUCAAACAUUUCAGCAGAAGAUGCACAACCUAAUGCAUGACAUGGGUUGGGAUGCUGUUGCUACAUAGGAACGUAUGAAAAGCAGGUGUUUGAGUAUUUGAUCAGAGGGGUUUCUCUUCUUUUGACUUCAUGUCUUAAAUCAAGAUGCUUCUGGACUACUAUUUGUUGAGGCCUAUGGGAAUGGAAAGUAAAUUUUACAAUUUUCAGCAAAUACGCUUUAAAUUUUUUAUUUAUCAAAUAUUCCUUUAGAUAAGGAAGACAAUUCAACUUUAUUAAAUUUUAAUUUUCUUGUUUAGAAAUAAUAUUUCAAUCAUGGAGAAAAAAUAAUUACUACAAAAUUUUAAUGAAAAAAAUCUGAUUGAUAUCUAUUCAAAGAUAGUCUCGCCAAUAUUAGUCAAGAAAACUCUUAAAAGUGUUCAACGAUAGUCCAAAUUUAUAUUGACUAAUCAAUAACUGUAACAGUGUCAUUAAAAAACCAACCUUUGUUAACGUUGAAUAAAAAAUGUUGACUUGUUUGAAAAAUAAUUUCAGAUAAAAAAAAUACUCUAACUGUUGAGAAAAUAAUCUGCCAAUAAAAGCUAAUUUUUAUCCUCAUAUUUACGUAGUCUUAUUUUUGUGGAGGAAAUCUUCUGUUGAUGUAAUGUAUGUCUGUUGGAGGGAGAUUUAAGUUCCCAAUAAUUAAGGGAUUAGAUCAAUCCCUGAUUCAACGGAUUAUUAGUAACAAAGUAAUUUUUGCCUUGAAUUUCAGUAGAAGUUAGAUUAAUUCUGAUAACACAUAGUCAUCUGAGUCAGGACCAUCCAUGGACCAAGUGGGAUGGAUUGAUCCACUACAAAUGUUUUUUAAGCAAGGAAUAUUGGGUAAAACAGGGUAAAAUUUACAAAAGAAUCCCUGUAGUCUAGAGAAAAGCUUCUAAUAAGAGUGCUCUUCAUGAUGUGAAUGGACUUACAAUUGUUGGCAUAAGCUUGCUAUGUAGGCUACGAGAAAGAACUGAACUAGGAACCGUUAGGUAAACUUAAAUGGAAUAAAUUUAAAUAUAUUAGCUGUUGUGAGUAAUUAAUAUAUUAGUCGUUGUAGUCUUACGAGUAAUUAAUGUCUUAGUCGUUUUUAUCUGUUUUGAUUACAACAACUAGAACUAUUUGAGUAUGUAAAUUAUAUUGUUGAUUAAUAACAACAUAGAAAAUGUGAAUAACAUUGUUCACAAAAGCUUGAUUUGCUAACAAAGUGGUACCAACAAGAGCUAGUUAGUUUGGGUGUCUAAGUGGGAAAAAGGAAUCAAUUAGCUUGAGUGUUUGAGAAAAAACAAGAGUGAGAGAUGACUAGUCUUACAAAUUGUGUGCUCAUGCUCAAGUUGAUAAUUGGAGUCUCAAAAUGAAGGAUCAUCUUGGUUUCCAAGAAAAUUGGGAGAUGGUGGAAAAUACAUGUAGAGCACGAAUUGGUUGGAUGUUCAGAUGAAUGUGUUGAGAGGAGUGCAUACAAAGGACAUGGGAGCUCUGUACAUCCUAUACCAAGCUGUGGACGAAUUUGACUUUGGGAAGAUUGAAAGUACAAAAUCUUCAAAAGAAACAUGAGACAUUUUGAAGAAGGCAUAUAAAGAGGACGACCGAGUGAAGCAAGUAUGGUUUCAAACACUAAAAGUGAAGUUGGAGAGCAUGAGUCUUGAGGUCGUUGACAAAUGACUUUGAGAAUGUGGUAUGGACAAUUGAAGAAUCAAAGGACCGGUCAAUGCUAAGUUGAAGAGCUUGCUGGGUCUCUUGAAGCACACAAGCAACAGCAAAAAAAGAAGAAGAAGUGGGAGCGACUUUAGAAAUUACUCCAAAUAAAUCUAGUGGUUGAUUUUAUUUCUUGAUCUUAUUCAUGUGUAAUUGUCUUGCUUUUAUCUUCUCAUUUUCGACAAUUAUGUCUACUAUUACUUCAUAUUAUGUGUUUAAUCUACUCCUAUAUCAUAGAAGCAAAUCUUCACA